rnacentral:lncRNA from 1 species
AGCAGCCCGAUGCCGGCCGGAGCGAAAGAGAAGCCGCCUCAACCUCAAGCUGGCCAGGCACCCAGCCAGAGCGGAGCAGCUGUGCACUGGUGGGGGCCUGGGACAGCUUAAGCCAAUCUGCCAGUGCCCACCAACCUCCAUUACCCUUCGUCCAUGAGGGAUGGAAAGAGGCGGAGCCACACCCAAUGUGGUGCGCCAGACUGCCAACAUUUUCCCGAGGAACACAGGCGAUAGAAGGGAAAUGGCAAUUUUCAUAACUCAGCCAAAGCAGGAUGGAAUUUCAUGGAAAAGCGAAAGGGAAACUUAGAGCCAACAGAUUGUGACAAGGGGAGACAGCACGCAAGGCACUGGGAG